rnacentral:snRNA from 1 species
AUACUUCCCUGGCAGUGAAGUUGCAAUGAUCAUGAAGAUGGUUUUCCCAGAGUGAGGCUCACCCACUGCACUCCAGGUAUGCUGACCCCUGCGAUGUCUCCAAAUGCAGGAAACUCAACUGCAUAAUUUGUGGUAGUGGGGGAUGUCGUUCAUGCUCCGCUGU